rnacentral:rRNA from 1 species
GAUGAACGCUGGCGGCGUGCCUAAUACAUGCAAGUCGAGCGAACAGACGAGGAGCUUGCUCCUCUGACGUUAGCGGCGGACGGGUGAGUAACACGUGGAUAACCUACCUAUAAGACUGGGAUAACUUCGGGAAACCGGAGCUAAUACCGGAUAAUAUAUUGAACCGCAUGGUUCAAUAGUGAAAGACGGUUUUGCUGUCACUUCUAGAUGGAUCCGCGCCGCAUUAGCUAGUUGGUAAGGUAACGGCUUACCAAGGCAACGAUGCGUGGCCGACCUGAGAGGGUGAUCGGCCACACUGGAACUGAGACACGGUCCAGACUCCUACGGGAGGCAGCAGUAGGGAAUCUUCCGCAAUGGGCGAAAGCUUGACGGAGCAAGGCCGCGUGAGUGAUGAAGGUCUUCGGAUCGUAAAACUCUGUUAUUAGGGAAGAACAAAUGUGUAAGUAACUAUGCACGUCUUGACGGUACCUAAUCAGAAAGCCACGGCUAACUACGUG